UGUGUUUUCCUGGCCUUGGGCCUGUGAAUACAUUUAUUCAGUCUAUGGAAAGAAGUCACUGUUUUGAUGCAGUGGGUAUUCACAGAUGGAAUUAGGCACAGAUAUGUCCUUAUGGAAUUUAUAGUUUAGUAAAGAAGAGAAAAUGUACAUAAAUAAUUAGUACAAAACAGAAAAGUAACUGUAAGAAAGCGGUGCAGAUAAAGUGUGAUUAACUUGGAGGUCAGGGACUGCUGUUAUUCUGACACAGAACAUGGGAGAUAGAGAAUGACUUCCUGGAGGAACGUGCAUUUGGAGGGCAGGGCUUGAAAGACUUAGGAUUUGCACCUGUGGAGAUCAGGCAAGGAACAGGCUUUCUGGGCAAGAAAAAAGAUCAUCUGAAGGCAGAUGUGGAAAAACUAGGGAGCAGUGACUAAUUUCAGUCCGGUGAAGUUUAAAAGAGUGAAAGGUAACAAUUUGGAAAUAAAGUUGGGAAAGCUAAAUUGAGCUAGAUCUUAAAGAGUCUCGAAAUCCAAGAAAUUUGGACUUUGUGAGCAAUGAAAAUCAUACAAAUGAUUUGGAAUAGAAGCGGGGGCCAGAAAACUUGAGGCUGUUACCUUAUUGAAGACACAAGGAAACAUAGGCCUGAAUUACUCAAGGGUGGCAGAGUCGAUGAUGGUGAAGAGUGCUUGGUGGAGGAAACCAGAACAAAACCAAAGAGAGCAUACCUAGGCUAAAGCUUGCAGCAUCCGUUCAGCUUCAGUUGGGUGUGGCUGUGCACAAAUGGGUGCCCAGGGUUGCCAGAUCUUAUUUUGACCAGAAAUUAGGUGUCUGGAUUUUAAUGUAAAAAAAUCGCCCAAUUUUUAAGCAUGGGCUGCUAAUUAAAACAAAAUUAGAAGCAUGUCUGUAGCCUAACAAAUCUUUACCCCUGGGUAGUUGUGGAGCUGAGUGGAAGAGAUGUUAAUAUAGGUGGAAUUUAUUACUCAUUUGUCCAUAUUAAUUCAAUGUUAACUCAGAUGAUUGCUAUCAUACCAGAUGCAUAUAUAAAAACAUUUGGUAUUAAAUAUUAACAGUAUGUACUGUAACAUUCAUAAUAAAGUCUUCAUAUUCUGAUUUCUUUCAGCAAAACAACCCUUUUCUUAGCAUUUUGUGUACUAUGUAGAAUUAUACUUUUCAUGCCUACCUCCUAUAAACUUAAUACUGAUUUUUUUCCAGAAUGUUUAUAACAAGUAUUAAGGAAUUUUAUCUCUAUUUUUAGUUAUAAGACCUAAUUAUGAGCGAUCAAAUCAAAUUCAUUGUGGACAAUCUCAAUAAGGAGCCUUUUAGGAAGAACUAUAAUUUAAUAACAUUUGAUUCCCUGGAGCCAAUGCAACUAUUGCAAAUUCUCAAUGAUGUUCUGGCUGAGAUUGACCCAAAGCAAGUUGUUGAUAUCAGAGAGGAGAUGCCAGAGCAUACAGCCAAAAGGAUGUUGAGCCUUCUUGGUAUCCUUAAAUACAAACCUCCAGGAAAUGCUACAGACAUGAGUACCUUUCGUCAGGGUCUGGUGAUUGGAAGUAAACCUGUAAUUUACCCAGUGCUCCACUGGCUUCUUCAGAGGACUAAUGAACUGAAGAAAAGAGCAUAUUUAGCUCGUUUUUUAAUAAAACUUGAGGUACCAAGUGAGUUUCUUCAGGACGAAACAGUGGCUGAUACCAAUAAACAGUAUGAAGAGCUGAUGGAAGCCUUUAAAACUUUGCAUAAAGAAUGUGAGCAACUCAAGACAUCUGGAUUUUCUACAGCAGAAAUAAGAAGGGAUAUCAGUGCAAUGGAGGAUGAAAAGGAUCAGCUCAUUAAGAGAGUUGAACGUUUGAAGAAAAGGGUGGAGACAGUUCAGAAUCAUCAACGGAUGCUUAAAAUAGCAAGGCAACUUCGAGUUGAAAAAGAGAGAGAAGAAUUUCUUGCACAACAGAAACAGGAACAAAAGAAUCAGCUAUUUCAUGCGGUGCAGAGACUGCAAAGAGUACAAAAUCAGCUGAAAAGUAUGCGCCACACAGCAGCAGAUGCAAAGCCUGAAAGUUUAAUGAAGAGACUAGAGGAAGAGAUAAAGUUUAAUUCUUAUAUGGUAACUGAAAAAUUUCCUAAAGAAUUAGAGAGCAAGAAAAAAGAAUUGCAUUUUCUACAAAAAGUGGUUUCAGAGCCUGCCAUGGGCCAUUCUGAUCUUCUUGAACUAGAAUCUAACAUAAAUGAAAUAAACACACAGAUAAAUCAGCUGAUUGAAAAGAAAAUGAUGAGAAAUGAGCCAAUUGAAGGCAAACUCUCACUAUACAGGCAACAGGCAUCCAUCAUUUCUCGUAAAAAAGAAGCCAAAGCUGAGGAACUUCAGGAAGCGAAGGAGAAGUUAGCCAGCCUAGAGAGAGAGGUAUCAGUGAAGACAAAUCAGACCCGCGAAUUUGAUGGUACUGAAGUUUUGAAGGGAGAUGAGUUCAAACGAUAUGUCAGUAAACUUCGAAGCAAGAGUACAGUUUUCAAAAAGAAGCAUCAAAUAAUAGCUGAAUUUAAAGCUGAAUUUGGCCUCUUGCAGAGGACAGAAGAACUUCUUAAGCAACGGCAUGAAAAUAUUCAACAUCAACUGCGAACUAUUGAAGAGAAAAAGGGCAUAUCUGGAUAUAGUUACACUCAGGAAGAGCUGGAAAGGGUAUCUGCACUGAAGAGUGAAGUCGACGAAAUGAAAGGCCGAACGCUAGAUGACAUGUCUGAAAUGGUAAAAAAACUGAAUUCACUGGUGUCGGAAAAGAAGUCAGCUCUAGCCCCAGUUAUAAAAGAACUACGACAGUUGCGUCAGAAAUGUCAAGAACUAACCCAGGAGUGUGAUGAAAAGAAAUCCCAGUAUGAUAGCUGUGCAGCAGGCCUCGAAAGCAAUCGGUCCAAAUUAGAACAGGAAGUCAGAGGACUCCGUGAAGAAUGUCUUCAGGAAGAAAGUAGAUACCAUUACACAAAUUGUAUGAUUAAGAACCUAGAAGUACAACUUCGUCGUGCUACUGAUGAGAUGAAGGCUUAUGUUUCUUCUGAUCAACAAGAAAAAAGAAAGGCAAUUAGGGAGCAGUAUACAAAAAAUAUUGCUGAACAGGAAAACCUUGGAAAGAAACUCCGAGAAAAACAAAAAGCUGUACGAGAAAGUCAUGGUCCAAAUAUGAAACAAGCGAAAAUGUGGCGUGAUUUUGAACAAUUGAUGGAAUGUAAGAAACAGUGCUUUCUGAAACAACAAAGCCAAACUUCCAUUGGUCAGAAACUCCUCCAACUGCACAAAACUUCUGAACUGUGCUUUUUAAAGAUAUGAAAAAGGAAAAUAUGAUGAUACAUACAAAAUACUCCCAAGACCUGUAGUGCUCAAAGAAGAUUUUAGUGAUGGAAAAGUCUCAGAGAAAAGGAGGCUGGAUCUUAAGAGGAGCCCAAGAUAAAGGUGUGUGUCUGUCCACCAGCUCUACCAAGUGCUAUGCUACACACUUCACUUGAGGAAAGCUGCCUGAGGUGGUAUUUUGGAAGACCUGUGAUAACUCUGAAUCAUGAAACUGGAGGAACAGAACAAAUCACAAGUUAAAACAUACCUAACGUCUGCCAGAAAGUACCCGUUGAGAGCAUCAUUAGCCUGAAGUCUGGAUCUAAUGCACUAAGCCCUUCCCUUCCCUCUUAACCCCAAUCUCUUUAAUUGACAUUUAGUUGCCUGCGGUCAGAUCUCUUUCAAUCCCAGUGUCUACAGGCUCCUGAUCUUGGGCGACUGGGACAGCUAGACCUAUCUCUUCUCAGGCCCACUCUUGCUUUAUUUCCCUUUUUUUGGUGUGUGCAUACUGCUUUAAUUGGGCAAUCAUUAUGCCAUUCUCCCAUUAACGUCGGCGGGGAAGUGAGUAAUCAAACUCUCAAUUGUAAACUUCGGUAAGAUAAGGUCAGCAAGACGUGUGGUCCUGAGAUGGCACCCCGCACCCGCAAGGGAAAAUGACUCUCGGUGGCUCUCAUUGUUUUGGGGCUUGUUUGCGUUGCUGUGCACUUGUAAUGGAAAACGAAUAAAAAUAAAAAUCCCGGGGCCCAUUUUGGCGCGCGCUUGGGAAGUUAAUACCACUGUCCUGGCAGAAUUCCAGCUCAGGUCACUGCAUUCUGCUGGCGGAAGCCGCCUCAUGCGGUUUUCAGUGGAUGUCACUUUCUUCUUUGCAUCCUUCUCAGGGCUCCGUGUGCAGCGCAUUCAACAGCUGGCCCUUCCCCACCUGCAGGAGCUACAGUUCUGCAGAACUCAGAAUGACCCCUGCCUCUUCCCCGGGCAGGAAAUUAACCUGCUCCAAGGACCAGCCACUGAGAUAUUUGCUACAGUCAAGAUCUAUACGAAUGUGUUUUUCUCUGAGUGCCUUUAAGCAGCCACAGAAUCAGAUUACUCUCCUUAAAAGAUUUUUCAAGGAAUCACACAGUUUCUUACAAGUCUCUAAUGCAUAUAUUCCCUCCAUUUGUUUUGUAAUGUUUUGUUAUGCAAACUAAAAAUGUCUCCUUAUCUGAAGUACUUAGAAAUUUAUCUCCCUUCCACCCAUAUAUGCUUAUUGUUGCUGCUUUUGUUUUCACAGAUUUUUUUUCUAGUGUGUAACUCUUUCCCCUAUGAAAUGUAUUGCAUUUUAUGGUGCGAGGAAUGGUUCUAACUAGUUGUUCCCCCAUACAAAUAAUCUUCUGUUCUUAACAAUGUUUACUGAAUGGCAGUUUCCAAUUGUGUGUCUUGCGCACAUGACUUAAACCUGUCUGACCAUCAGCUUUCAGGAUCUGGGGAGAUAGGAAUGACACCUACCUGACAGGCUUAUCCCAAGGAUGGAGUAAGCCAGCACGUGAAAAGGUCCUAGCACGUUGCAUGCAUGGCAGAUAUGUGUUUAAUAAAUGAUGUCUUCCUUUUA